GACGUAGGGCGCGAGCGUUGUCCGGAUUUACUGGGCGUAAAGAGCGCGCAGGCGGUCGGCCAAGUCGAGUGUGAAAGCCCCCGGCUCAACUGGGGAGGGUCAUUCGAUACUGGUCGACUCGAAGGCAGGAGAGGGAAGCGGAAUUCCCGGUGUAGUGGUGAAAUGCGUAGAUAUCGGGAGGAACACCAGUGGCGAAGGCGGCUUCCUGGCCUGUUCUUGACGCUGAGGCGCGAAAGCUAGGGGAGCAAACGGG
rnacentral:rRNA from 1 species